rnacentral:lncRNA from 1 species
UGUUUUACUUCGGUCAACCUGUAGAGAAGGAAACGGUGAUUACAAUGGUGAAAGAAUUACACAGAACGGAAAUCAGGAAGGGCCUCAUCGGAGGUGAUUUUCGUAAUUUUCUGCUGUGGCACUGACUGUCUUUGCCCGCAAUUUUCAGCCAAUCUGUCAGUCCUUUUGUUUCGAUUUGGCUAUAUGAGUGUUUAAAAUCGAAUUUCGAGUAAAUGGAAAAAUUUUUACGUCUUUUGGGGGUCGGAAGUGGUUCCAGCGCAGCGGCGGCAGCGGUCGGUUUCCUUUUCGGCGGCUGGGUCUCCUACUCCGGUAGGGGGAGGGGUGGGGGUCUGACGGCUAGGGUUAGG